rnacentral:rRNA from 1 species
GAUGAACGCUGGCGGCGUGCCUAAUACAUGCAAGUCGAGCGAACAGACGAGGAGCUUGCUCCUCUGACGUUAGCGGCGGACGGGUGAGUAACACGUGGAUAACCUACCUAUAAGACUGGGAUAACUUCGGGAAACCGGAGCUAAUACCGGAUAACAUGUUGAACCGCAUGGUUCAACAGUGAAAGACGGUCUUGCUGUCACUUAUAGAUGGAUCCGCGCCGCAUUAGCUAGUUGGUAAGGUAACGGCUUACCAAGGCAACGAUGCGUAGCCGACCUGAGAGGGUGAUCGGCCACACUGGAACUGAGACACGGUCCAGACUCCUACGGGAGGCAGCAGUAGGGAAUCUUCCGCAUAGGGCGAAAGCCUGACGGAGCAACGCCGCGUGAGUGAAGAAGGUCUUCGGAUCGUAAAACUCUGUUAUUAGGGAAGAACAAAUGUGUAAGUAACUAUGCACGUCUUGACGGUACCUAAUCAGAAAGCCACGGCUAACUACGUG